UAGCAAGGUUAACCGAAUAGGGGAGCCGGAGGGAAACCGAGUCUUAAUUGGGCGUUAAGUUGCAGGGUAUAGACCCGAAACCCGGUGAUCUAGCCAUGGGCAGGUUGAAGGUUGGGUAACACUAACUGGAGGACCGAACCGACUAAUGUUGAAAAAUUAGCGGAUGACCUGUGGCUGGGGGUGAAAGGCCAAUCAAACCGGGAGAUAGCUGGUUCUCCCCGAAAGCUAUUUAGGUAGCGCCUCGUGAAUUCAUCUCCGGGGGUAGAGCACUGUUUCGGCUAGGGGGCCAUCCCGGCUUACCAACCCGAUGCAAACUGCGAAUACCGGAGAAUGUUAUCACGGGAGACACACGGCGGGUGCUAACGUCCGUCGUGAAGAGGGAAACAACCCAGACCGCCAGCUAAGGUCCCAAAGUCAUGGUUAAGUGGGAAACGAUGUGGGAAGGCCCAGACAGCCAGGAUGUUGGCUUAGAAGCAGCCAUCAUUUAAAGAAAGCGUAAUAGCUCACUGGUCGAGUCGGCCUGCGCGGAAGAUGUAACGGGGCUAAACCAUGCACCGAAGCUGCGGCAGCGA
rnacentral:rRNA from 1 species